rnacentral:rRNA from 1 species
CCACCUACGGGGCGCAGCAGUAGGGAAUUUUCGUCAAUGGGCGCAAGCCUGAACGAGCAAUGCCGCGUGAACGAGGAAGGUCUUCGGAUCGUAAACCUCUGUCUUUGGGGAAGAAAAUGACGGUACCCAAAGAGGAAGCUCCGGCUAACUACGUGCCAGCAGCCGCGGUAAUACGUAGGGAGCGAGCGUUGUCCGGAAUUACUGGGUGUAAAGGGAGCGUAGGCGGGCGAGAAAGUUGAAUGUUAAAUCUACCGGCUUAACUGGUAGCUGCGUUCAAAACUUCUUGUCUUGAGUGAAGUAGAGGC